GUACAGCUCCCGAAGUGCCUCCACUCACCAGAAGCCGCUCCGGCCUGCCAGACAUCAGUCCCUUGUGGUGGCACAACGCAGACAACAGGCCCGCCAGGGGAGGGAAGCUGCAGGACUGACUGCGGGCCUGCCGCAGAGACUGUGGUGACAGCUCAGAAGGAUUCUUCCAGAAAGGUUCAAAUAGGCACUACGGCUUUGGGAUUUGUUUCCCUGAAUUCACAGGAUCCGAUUGUGGCCUGCAAAGAUGCUUCAGAACAGUUUUCCAGCCAUAUUUCUGCCUCGGAGCUUGAGGUGUGAAAAACAAGGAGACAGAUCACCCCAUGCCCUGCAGCCCAUCAGCGCUUCUACACCACAGCUCACUGAACAGUUCCUGGAGCAGGCAGCAGACACAGAACUGGUAAUUAGCGUGCUGUCAGCUGACGGCCGCUGUGGGCUUCUGCUGCUGACAUCAGCAAGUCCAUCAUAUAUUUAAAGCUAUCACUGCUCAUCAUAAUUCUGAUCUGGAACAUUCAAUUAAUAAGAAAAUCCUUUUCGAAAAACGACAACUAAAAUCACGUUUGGGUGAAAGUUUGUAAGUAUAUAAACAAGUUAAAAUGAGAAUGAGCAGCCACAUUUCAUUUCAGCCCAAAAUGCAUCGGUUAGCACCCACAGUCCAAGCUCUGGCCGAGGCAUCCGUCAGAAAUCCACCAACAAGUCAGCUCUUUCUGAUGAGAGGAUGCUGUGAUUUGGUCAAGGUUAGAGAGGACAUCUGUUUUAAUGACAGAAGUCGGGAGAAGAGCGGCACUUCGGGCGUCUCCAAUCUUUAUCCACAGAUUGCCCAUGAAGGUGUUGGUGACUGUUUUCCUUCUGAUGUGAUCCACUGACAAAUAAAGCAAAAUCACUUGUUUACUGUUGUUUUUCAGGAAAAAAUACCAUAUGAAGGUUGUAUUUAUCUAAAAAUUCAAAAAUUGAAAUUUCAGAAUAAUGUCACAUUAAUGGAACAAUCGCUGUAUAAUUUUUCCAAGGAGUUAUGAAUAGAUAUCACAUAGUACAGAAUAAGAAAAAUAGAAUCAUUUUAAUAUAAAAAAUACUCAUUUUAUUAUAAAAGCUGUUUUAUCCUUAGGGCUAAUCAGAAAAAUAAUAAUUUUGUUGAAGAAAUGUAUGUCAUCUAUUAUUUAAUGUCUUCUAUCCCCCCCCCCACAGUGCUGUCAAAGUAAUAUCUAUUUUUGGACUUGAUUCUAAGGUUUUGUACCAAACUGAUGAUUGCUACACCUGCAAAGGCUUACCUCUCAAAUUGAGUUAGCAUGAACUAGAUCGCAAUUGCUACUAAACUUAUCAACCUCCAGGAACUCAGCCUGCCGCCACCAAAAUACAAGAGCUAGGAUUUAAUAAAGGAAUCCUAAACAGGUAACAUUUUUCUUUCUCCACAAUUUGAAACAGUGUUUGUUCAUCACAUAGAAAUGGCAAAUAUGCAUGUUGGAAAUUCAGAAAACAAAUAUGUCAGGAAGCAUUUUAUGCAUCAUUUAAAAUUAUAUUUAAACAGUUCUCUGGCUGUAAAUUAAAGAAAGGAGAAAUUAUGUGCCCAAGCUUUCAUAAAUGUCAUAUACCAAAUUCAUAGAAAUUAAUAAAUACAAAUCAAGUACAAUUUAUCUUUUUUUCAUUAAAUAAAACAGUAAUUCACCAAGUCCAAAUGAGAGCUACAGACACUAACACAUUAUUAACGGCAACAACGAUGCUGUAUUACCAGAAAUGUUUGUAACACAUUAGAUAUGUUGCCUCAAAUGGACAGGAAUAAAUUAGAAGUAGCAUGUAUAUUUUAUGACAUAUUGAUAGUUUUUCUUCCUGGUUUAAUCCACCCUUCUUUUCUCGUGGUUUAACCCUUCCCCUGGGGCAAAAAAUGCUAUCAGCUCAUGUCACAGACAGGUUCAGGACAACGCAAUGGCUAAUAAACCCAGGGCAAUAGAUAAUAAGGAAUAUUUAUACACUUGGGCGAGACUGGGGGAUACAGGGCUGGGCCUUCACUCCUUGUUUGUUGACCUGCACAGUUGUGCAGGCCUGCUCACAUUUUACAAAAGAGGAUCUGGACAAGGAGGAAAUUGAUAAAGGUGGCUUGUAAUUACCUGCCGUGGACUGUCACCCAGGCGUCUCUGUGUGUUCUGUGACCUGGUGCCAGUUGGACUAGGCAGGGAGACUAGAAAGAGGAAGAAGCAGAGAUUAUUUUCCUCAUUAAAAAAUAAAAAAGCUUUUUUAGGCCAGAAAGUGUAGGUUUGUUAGAUAAUUUAGAAAAAAAUAGAAAUAGAUUACAAAAUAAAAAGUCAUGAACCAGCUAACCUCUCAUCAAUAGUCAUUGUGGAUUUGGGUGUAUUUCUUCUUGGUAUUUUAAAAAAUAUAUAUGAAAGUCAUAAAAUUUGAAGUGUAUCUUCUAUUCUGCUUUUUAUCUGUGGGCAUGUUACAACUUACUAGGUAUUCCUCAAGCAUUUUUUGACUCCAUAGUAGUCUGCUGCAUGUACUGUCACCUAUUGAGCUAUCUCCUGCUGUUGAAAGUCUAGGUUGUCUCCAAUUCUUGAGUUAUGAACGUGCUGUAACAAAACAUCCCUGUGUAUGCAUCCUCAUAUGCAUGCUUGGUAUUUCUCUGUUAUA